GGCGGGUUGCCCGAGUGGUCAAUGGGAGCAGACUGUAAAUCUGCCGGCUAAUGCCUACGGAGGUUCGAACCCUUCACCCGCCACCA
rnacentral:tRNA from 1 species